UUCCUCAGUUUAAGAUAUAGAUGAGUAACAGUUUGCAUCAGUGGAGAAAAUAAUCAUAAAAAUAGUAAAAGAUGAUUAAAAUCUGUUGUUAUUAGGGAUUUUUUUAAAAAGGGACAUUAAUUCACUAUUGGUAAACCUGUGCAUAGGUACAACUAUUAUGGAAAAUAAUAUAAAAUAAUGUAAGCAAAAUUACAAAUUUUUUCAUAUGAUUUUAUUUAAUCAUCUUACAUUUAACUUUUUGUUCUCAGAAGGCAAUUGGCAGUGACAACAAUAAGAAAAAACAAUCACAACAUUAAGACCAGUAGCAAUAACUGCAGCAGUUCAUUGAGAGCAAAUAUUGUAAAGGGAUGAAACUCUGAGAAAGGAGAGAUACUGAUGGAUUCUACAGCUGUUUCAGAGUCUAGCUUCUAUUAAUUCAGGUAACUUUAUUGGGUAAAAGUAGAGAUUUUUUAUUUUUCCCAAAUGUUAAAAUGUUUCUUAUGUAAUUGAGUUAUAUUUGCCCCCAUAAAAUCCAUCUUUCAGUUUAAAUUAUAAAAUAUAAUAUAUAUUUAAUGACUAUCUAAAAUAUAUGAUUUUGUGAUAAAUGUUGAAAGUCAUAAAAAAGAUAAGUAAGAAAGUAUUUGAUCUCAAAAAGCUUACAAUCUAUUACAAUCUAGAAGAAAUUAUAAAAUAAUAAUCAAUUGAAUCAAUUGAUUUUGUAGGUUUAUUCUUUUAAAUGGUGUUUUUAAAAGUCCAUUUAAUAAAGAAGAAAGAGAAAUGUGGAUGCAACUCUGUGCAGGAUAACAGGAAAUUGGCUGUAAUUAACUUC